AGAAAGCUUCCUUCUACCAGUGACCUGAAAGAACUCUUGCUGGCAGCUGACUCACCUGAGGAUGCCACUGAAGUUAGUGCUGACAUUGGCUGGGACAGUGGGACAGGUGGGACAAUAGCAAUUCUAUUGCUAUUACAUCUGAUUCCACCAUCUGGUCAGGGUCGGAAGAGACCAGGAAAGGUGUCAGCUUCUCAAGCAGAAAGGCAUCUUGUGGUCUUCAAGAAGACUGGAACAAAUAUCCAAGAGCACCUUGAUGCCGUCACUACCAGCACUCAACCCUACCUCCUGGCUGUUGGGGUGAAA